rnacentral:rRNA from 1 species
CUGGGACUGAGAUACGGCCCAGACUCCUACGGGAGGCAGCAGUGGGGAAUAUUGCACAAUGGGCGCAAGCCUGAUGCAGCGACGCCGCGUGAGGGACGACGGCCUUCGGGUUGUAAACCUCUUUCAGUAGGGACGAAGCGCGAGUGACGGUACCUACAGAAGAAGGACCGGCCAACUACGUGCCAGCAGCCGCGGUAAUACGUAGGGUCCGAGCGUUGUCCGGAAUUACUGGGCGUAAAGAGCUCGUAGGUGGUUUGUCGCGUUGUUCGUGAAAACUCACAGCUCAACUGUGGGCGUGCGGGCGAUACGGGCAGACUGGAGUACUGCAGGGGAGACUGGAAUUCCUGGUGUAGCGGUGGAAUGCGCAGAUAUCAGGAGGAACACCGGUGGCGAAGGCGGGUCUCUGGGCAGUAACUGACGCUGAGGAGCGAAAGCGUGGGGAGCGAACAGGAUUAGAUACCCUGGUAGUCCACGCCGUAAACGGUGGGUACUAGGUGUGGGUUUCCUUCCUUGGGAUCCGUGCCGUAGCUAACGCAUUAAGUACCCCGCCUGGGGAGUACGGCCGCAAGGCUAAAACUCAAAGAAAUUGACGGGGGCCCGCACAAGCGGCGGAGCAUGUGGAUUAAUUCGAUGCAACGCGAAGAACCUUACCUGGGUUUGACAUGCACAGGACGCCGGCAGAGAUGUCGGUUCCCUUGUGGCCUGUGUGCAGGUGGUGCAUGGCUGUCGUCAGCUCGUGUCGUGAGAUGUUGGGUUAAGUCCCGCAACGAGCGCAACCCCUAUCUUAUGUUGCCAGCGCGUGAUGGCGGGGACUCGUAAGAGACUGCCGGGGUCAACUCGGAGGAAGGUGGGGAUGACGUCAAGUCAUCAUGCCCCUUAUGUCCAGGGCUUCACACAUGCUACAAUGGCCGGUACAGAGGGCUGCGAUGCCGUGAGGUGGAGCGAAUCCUUUAAAGCCGGUCUCAGUUCGGAUCGGGGUCUGCAACUCGACCCCGUGAAGUCGGAGUCGCUAGUAAUCGCAGAUCAGCAACGCUGCGGUGAAUACGUUCCCGGGCCUUGUACACACCGCCCGUCACGUCAUGAAAGUCGGUAACACCCGAA